ensembl:ncRNA T08G11.8 ncRNA
GGAAAGCAAAAAGGAAAGGAGGGACCAACAGAAGCACCACAUCAUCAUCCAUCCAUUCCUCCGUACGUUUCUCACUGGUCUCUCAUUGUUUUUGGGCAACCAAGGAAAGAGAGAGAGAGAGAGAGAGAGAGAGAGAGAGAGAGAGGA